rnacentral:rRNA from 1 species
UGGGGAAUAUUGCACAAUGGGCGCAAGCCUGAUGCAGCCAUGCCGCGUGUAUGAAGAAGGCCUUCGGGUUGUAAAGUACUUUCAGCGGGGAGGAAGGGAGUAAAGUUAAUACCUUUGCUCAUUGACGUUACCCGCAGAAGAAGCACCGGCUAACUCCGUGCCAGCAGCCGCGGUAAUACGGAGGGUGCAAGCGUUAAUCGGAAUUACUGGGCGUAAAGCGCACGCAGGCGGUUUGUUAAGUCAGAUGUGAAAUCCCCGGGAUCAACCUGGGAACUGCAUCUGAUACUGGCAAGCUUGAGUCUCGUAGAGGGGGGUAGAAUUCCAGGUGUAGCGGUGAAAUGCAUAGAGAUCUGGAGGAAUACCGGUGGCGAAGGCGGCCCCCUGGACGAAGACUGACGCUCAGGUGCGAAAGCGUGGGGAGCAAACAGG